GACGAACGCUGGCGGCGUGCUUAAUACAUGCAAGUCAACUUGACUUUAGAUAGCAAUAUCGAAAGUAGGGUGGCGCACGGGUGCGUAACGCGUAGGUAAUCUGCCCUGAGGUCUGACAUAACCCGUCGAAAGGCGGGCUAACAUCAGAUGAUAUAUAAUCACGACAUCGUGGAAAUAUCAAAUCUUCGGAGCCUUGGGAUGAGCCUGCGUCUGAUUAGGUAGUUGGCGGAGUAAUAGCCCACCAAGCCUACGAUCAGUAGCUGGUCUGAGAGGAUGAUCAGCCACACUGGAACUGAGACACGGUCCAGACUCCUACGGGAGGCAGCAGUAAGGAAUAUUGCUCAAUGGGGGAAACCCUGAAGCAGCAACGCCGCGUGAAGGAUGAAAUACUUUUGUAUGUAAACUUCUGUAAGAUGGGAAAAAUAUUCUCCUCGGGAGAAUUGAUUGUACCAUCAGAGUAAGCCCCGGCUAACUACGUGCCAGCA
rnacentral:rRNA from 1 species